GAUGAACGCUGGCGGCGUGCCUAAUACAUGCAAGUCGAGCGAACGGACGAGAAGCUUGCUUCUCUGAUGUUAGCGGCGGGCGGGUGAGUAACACGUGGAUAACCUACCUAUAAGACUGGGAUAACUUCGGGAAACCGGAGCUAAUACAGGAUAAUAUUUUGAACCGCAUGGUUCAACAGUGAAAGAGGGUCUUGCUGUCACUUAUAGAUGGAUCCGCGCUGCAUUAGCUAGUUGGUACGGUAACGGCUUACCAAGGCAACGAUGCAUAGCCGACCUGAGAGGGUGAUCAGCCACACUGGAACUGAGACACGGUCCAGACUCCUACGGGAGGCAGCAGUAGGGAAUCUUCCGCAAUGGGCGAAAGCCUGACGGAGCAACGCCGCGUGAGUGAUAAAGGUCUUCGGAUCGUAAAACUCUGUUAUUAGGGAAGAACAUAUGUGUAAGUAACUGUGCACAUCUUGACGGUACCUAAUCAGAAAGCCACGGCUAACUACGUG
rnacentral:rRNA from 1 species